rnacentral:rRNA from 1 species
AGCUCCAAUAGCGUAUAUUAAAGUUGCUGCAGUUAAAAAGCUCGUAGUUGCAUUUCCGAGGCAAGGGAUUAGUCCGACCUUUGGUGGGUAUUUAAUCCUCUUGCCUCGUCCUUGAGUGGUGCUUCUUGGUAUUAAGUUAUCGAGGAGAUAGCCGCUCAUCGUUUACUGUGAGAAAAUUAGAGUGUUCAAAGCAGGCUUAUGCCGUUGAAUAUAUUAGCAUGGAAUAAUAAGAUAGGACCUCGGUACUAUUUUGUUGGUUUGAGAACCAAGGUAAUGAUGAAUAGGGACAGUUGGGGGUAUUCGUAUUCAGUUGUCAGAGGUGAAAUUCUUAGAUUUACGGAAGACGAACUACUGCGAAAGCAUUUGCCAAGAAUGUUUUCA